rnacentral:rRNA from 1 species
AUAACGGAGAGUUUGAUCCUGGCUCAGGACGAACGCUGGCGGCAUGGAUUAGGCAUGCAAGUCGUACGCGAGGAGUUUCCUUCGGGGGAUUUAGUAGAGUGGCGAAUGGGAGAGUAUCACGUGGGUAAUUUACCUCUAAGCGGGGGACAACUCAGGGAAACCUGGGCUAAUACCGCAUGUGUCCGGAAACGGGUAAAGGUGGCCUCUGCUAGCAAGCUGCCGUUUAGAGAUAAGCCUGCGCACUAUUAGUUAGUUGGUGAGGUAAUGGCUCACCAAGGCGAUGAUAGUUAGGCGGCCUUAACGGGUGACCGCCCUCACUGGGAUUGAGAUACGGCCCAGACUCCUACGGGAGGCAGCAGUCGAGAAUAGUCUACAAUGGACGAAAGUCUGAUAGUGCAAUGCCGCGUGGAUGAAGAAGCAUUUCGGUGUGUAAAAUCCUUUUUUUAGUGAUAAAAGUAUUUUAGGUGAAUAGCUUGAGAUAUAAGAUAUUAGCUAGAGAAUAAGCCUCGGCUAACUCCGUGCCAGCAGCCGCGGUAAUACGGGGGAGGCAAGCGUUGUCCGGAAUCACUAGGCGUAAAGGGCAAGUAGGCGGAAUAGUAAGUUAUGCGUUUAAGGCAAUGGCUCAACCAUUGUAAGGCGUGUGAUACUGCUUUUCUAGAGUCAGGCAGGGGAAGACGGAAUUUCUGGUGUAGCGGUGGAAUGCGCAGAUAUCAGAAGGAACACUCAUGGCGAAGGCAGUCUUCUGGGCCAUGACUGACGCUCAAUUGCGAAGGUGUGGGUAUCAAACAGGAUUAGAGACCCUGGUAGUCCACACAGUAAACGAUGAACACUAGAUGUCGGUAGAGAAGAUCUAUCGGUGUCGUAGCUAACGCGUUAAGUGUUUCGCCUGGGGAGUACGUCCGCAAGGAUGAAACUCAAAGGAAUUGACGGGGACCCGCACAAGCGGUGGAGCAUGUGGUUUAAUUCGAUGCAACGCGAAGAACCUUACCCGGACUUGACAUAUUUUAGAAUCUGAUAGAGAUAUCGGAGUGCUGCUUGCAGAGCUAAUAUACAGGUGCUGCAUGGCUGUCGUCAGCUCGUGUCGUGAGAUGUUGGGUUAAGUCCCGCAACGAGCGCAACCCCUGCACUUAGUUGCCAUCAUUUAGUUGGGGACUCUAAGUGGACUGCCGACGCAAAAAGUCGGAGGAAGGUGGGGAUGAUGUCAAGUCAUCAUGGUCCUUAUGUCCGGGGCUACACACGUGCUACAAUGGUCGGUACAAAGGGUAGCUAGGUGGUGACACCGUGCGAAUCUCUAAAGCCGAUCUCAGUUCGGAUUGAAGUCUGCAACUUGACUUCAUGAAGCCGGAAUCGCUAGUAAUCGCGUGUCAGCAUAACGCGGUGAAUACGUUCCCGGGUCUUGUACACACCGCCCGUCAAGUCAGCCGAGUUGAGUGCACCCGAAGAAGGUGAGCUAACCGAGCAAUCGGAGGCAGCUUUCGAAGGUGUGCUUAGUAAGGGGGACUAAGUCGUAACAAGGUAGCCGUACUGGAAAGUGCGGCUGGAUCACCUCCUUU